rnacentral:rRNA from 1 species
GACGAACGCUGGCGGCGUGCUUAACACAUGCAAGUCGAACGAUGAAGCCGGAGCUUGCUCUGGUGAAUUAGUGGCGAACGGGUGAGUAACACGUGAGUAACCUGCCCUUGACUCUGGGAUAACUGCGGGAAACUGUAGCUAAUACCGGAUACGACCCUCGGAGGCAUCUCCUGGGGGUGGAAAGAAUUUCGGUCAAGGAUGGACUCGCGGCCUAUCAGCUAGUUGGUGAGGUAAAGGCUCACCAAGGCGACGACGGGUAGCCGGCCUGGGAGGGUGACCGGCCACACGGGGACUGAGACACGGCCCAGACUCCUACGGGAGGCAGCAGUGGGGAAUAUUGCACAAUGGGCGCAAGCCUGAUGCAGCAACGCCGCGUGAGGGAUGACGGCCUUCGGGUUGUAAACCUCUUUUAGCAGGGAAGAAGCGAAAGUGACGGUACCUGCAGAAUAAGGAUCGGCUAACUCCGUGCCAGCAGCCGCAGUAA